rnacentral:misc_RNA from 1 species
GGCACUUAUAUUUUUUUGAUUAAUAAGUGAUCAUUUUAAAGAAUAAAAAGAGUCACCACUUGUAAGGUUUCAGUGUACUCUUCCCUUCCAACUAGAAGUUGGGAAAAUGAACUUCUUGCAUCUUUAGCUACUGGAGUGCUGCGAGAAAUUGGACAGCGAUGCAACUCAAAGGUUGAGCUCAGGCCUGUGGUGAGCACCAGUGAGGAAUUGCAAUUUUCAGUUGAGGUCUUCUUUAUCGGUGAGAGAGUUGGUGUUGGGAUGGGUAAGACUAGGAAGGAUGCUCAGCAACAGGCAGCUGAGAAUGCACUUCGGAACAUGGCUGGUAAUUACGUCUCAUACAUUACAUCUCACCCUCUAGCAGUGGAUAAAGACUUUGAUAAGAUUUCGGUGGAAAAUGAAAAUGGGUUCUUGUGGGACACUGUCAAUCACGUGGAUGAACCUUCAGUCGACGAUAGAUUACCUCAAGUAAAUGUUUCAGAGGUGGGAGUUAAUGGUGAUGCUUCUCAUGACCGAUCACUUAAUUCUUUGAAAACAUGACUGGUGUUUGGUUAAGGGGGUGGGAGGGUGUGCACUGAAGCAAAUCUCGGAGAUGAUGGGUUGAGAUCAUAUGGGUUUUUACCCCUCCUUCCUUGAAUUGUGUUGUAUCAGAGUCGGGAGCAAAAAAGAAAAUUGUGAAGUUUGUUUGCCCAGUUGUUCAUCUGGCUAUGUAGGCCAUUCUUGAUGCUUCUUAUUUUGGAGGUUAAUGGUGGUUUUUAGUUGUAAUUCCACCCCUCGUCUUUCCCAUCACAAUUUUUGUUCUCAAGUAACUUGUGCCUGUGUGCUUUGUGGUCCUUUUC